rnacentral:rRNA from 1 species
GAUGAACGCUGGCGGCGUGCCUAAUACAUGCAAGUCGAGCGGACAGAUAAGGAGCUUGCUCCUUUGACGUUAGCGGCGGACGGGUGUGUAACACGUGGGUAACCUCCCUAUAAGACUGGUAUAACUCCGGGAAACCGGGUCUAAUGCCGGAUAACAUUUAGAACCGCAUGGUUCUAAAGUGAAAGAUGGCUUUGCUAUCACUUAUAGAUGGACCCGCGCCGUAUUAGCUAGUUGGUAAGGUAACGGCUUACCAAGGCAACGAUACGUAGCCGACCUGAGAGGGUGAUCGGCCACACUGGAACUGAGACGCGGUCCAGACUCCUACGGGAGGCAGCAGUAGGGAAUCUUCCGCAAUGGGCGAAAGCCUGACGGAGCAACGCCGCGUGAGUGAUGAAGGUCUUCGGAUCGUAAAACUCUGUUAUUAGGGAAGAACAAAUGUGUAAGUAACUGUGCACGUCUUGACGGUACCUAAUCAGAAAGCCACGGCUAACUACGUG